GAUGGGCACAUUAGCUGAGACAUAUUUGACAUCUGCCCAUACAGAUAUCGGAUUAUGAAAUCCUUACAAUUUUACACCUACAACUAAAAGACCAAGAAAGACAAAACAUCAGCAGCAUCUAUGGAUAAACAGCUACCUAAUGUGUAUGGAAAUGCGACAGAGGAUGCAGCACCAACCUCUCCCUGUAAAGGACCAUAAUCAAGUUAAACUAAUGCAAACUGUUGUCUGCAGUUGGGGGGGUGUAAACAGCAAGGACAGCAUGACAAGCCUCAUUAGGAGACAACCCCUUGGUGGCAGACAAGAACAGAUGACCAAACUGAGAGACAGAUCAAAUUUACUGACAGCUAAUGAUUUAAUGAGAUUUUCAUUGGCUUUUUUCAAUUCCAUCUGUCAUAGACAACCGUUAUGUGAAUCUUGGACACCAGGAUCCCCAUAAUUAUCAUAAAAUAUACAUUCUUAAAUUACACAUUAUUUAUUCAAGGGGGCUUGAUAGAUACUUGUCUCAUUAGCUGCACAACAUGAAAGCUUGGGCAAUAGCACAUGAUUUUGUCUCCAUCACCUGUAGCUGUAGACAAAUGAAAAAUGUAUUUAAAUUGUAUCGCCAUUAAAAGCUUUAUACUGUAUGUGUUAAGUAAUAUGGGAUCAUAUUAGUUGAUUAAAGACAUAACUGUAUUUCUGAUAUUUUUAAAAGCAGGAAGGAUUAUUAUUGUUAAUUUAUUAAAUUUCUAUAUUGUUGUUAUUACAAUAAAUUUGUAGAAGCACAGAACUAGAAGGAAAAUAAUAAAUCUGAAGUAAA